UAGAACCUUCCCCCCUCCUCUUUUAUGAGCUUCACUCACCUUCUCAGCUAUUUUCUUGCCUGAAUACAUGGUGGUUUCACCACCCAUCAGCCUUCUAUGGCUCAUCCACGCUUGGUUAUUCAAGUCUCAUGACCUGACCACGAAGAAGCUGGGUCCAGACCUUGCUUGAUUCAAUUUCCAUAGCCAUCUCCGGUCUUGCUCCGGCAAGUCAUGUCUGUUCGAGCCUUGCCUCCACUCCCCCUACUUAGAUCAACGACUAUCCAAGCCUUUUUAAUUGUUUGGGUUCCUCUGAAAUCCUAGCUUUUGAUGUUCUUCUGAUUUCUUUAGAUCUGUUGAACUUUUAAAUGAUUUCUUGUGAUUUCUUUCGAAAUUACGCUUUUAAAACCUUCAUUUUUCCGAUCUAGGGUUUUGGAGUUACUUAGAUGUUCUCUGAUUUUUUCUCUUAUGUGUUUCUUCUACUAUGUUUCUUAUCAAGUUUGUUCGACUGUGUUCUUUGUGUGUUUCUCGUACUGGGUUUCUUAUUAAGUUUCUUCUACUAUGAUUUUUUUAUAUAUUUCUCCUACCGUGCUCUUAUUAAUUUCUUCUACUAGGUUUCUUAUUAGUUUCUUCUACUAUAUGUCUGUGAGUUAUCUACUUUGUUUUGCAUGUUGUUCUUUUAAUAUGCUUCUCAUGAGUUCCUGCUAUUGAAAAAGCAUGUUAAUGGUCUCAGUUCCUUUCUGAAACCUCUGAACCUGUCUCGAUUAGUAUCCUUUUCCUCGAUUACUUGUCAUCUUAUCUCUGCACUCUAUUGAUGGUAAAAACCCUAGAAUUUGGGGGUUCAUCCGAGUUUUGAGACCAGUGGUUAUGUGAUUUGCUUGAACUUGUUUGAUUCCAUAAGCCCUAACUCUUUUGGACCUAUUUCGAGUUUCUGAAUUUGUUUCAUCUAUUACUCAACCGAGUCUUGAAAUCUUUGUUUCAACCUUUGUUUCUUUAAGCAAUUCUGAUUCUCUACUAAAC
rnacentral:lncRNA from 1 species